UCAUUCGCUUAAUCAUCUAGAUCUGGAGCUGCUGAUACCUGUCGACGCAUGCAGCCAACUCCUGAGCUCACUGCUCAAUUUACUGUCGAUCCUCGGCAGCCUGCUUCUACACCUCCAUCAGUCGAGCCUCAUAUACAGAAUGGAUGUCAGCCCUAGAUGAACGUGAGGAUGAGAGAGCAGUGAUUCCAUAUCCUAGACCCCCUAACAUAACAGGAUCUCAUAUCGAGCACCCGAUCACAGAUCUCAUCAUCUGUGGGUGCGGUCGAGCCCUCAGGGGUAGGUUGAGAUC
rnacentral:lncRNA from 1 species